rnacentral:rRNA from 1 species
AGUGAACGCUGGCGGUAGGCCUAACACAUGCAAGUCGAACGGCAGCACAGUAAGAGCUUGCUCUUACGGGUGGCGAGUGGCGGACGGGUGAGGAAUACAUCGGAAUCUACUUUUUCGUGGGGGAUAACGUAGGGAAACUUACGCUAAUACCGCAUACGACCUACGGGUGAAAGCAGGGGAUCUUCGGACCUUGCGCGAUUGAAUGAGCCGAUGUCGGAUUAGCUAGUUGGCGGGGUAAAGGCCCACCAAGGCGACGAUCCGUAGCUGGUCUGAGAGGAUGAACAGCCACACUGGAACUGAGACCCGGUCCAGACCCCCACGGGGGGCAGCAGUGGGGAAUAUUGGAAAAUGGGCGCAAGCCUGAUCCAGCCAUACCGGGGGGGUGAAGAAGGCCUUCGGGUUGUAAAGCCUUUUUGUUGGGAAAAAAAAGAAGCAGGUUAAUACCCCGCUGUUCUGACGGUACCCAAAAAAUAAGCACCGGCUAACUUCGU